rnacentral:rRNA from 1 species
AAGCGAAGCGGCUGGUUACCAGGCAAAUCCGGUAACCUUAAGGCUAGAGCGUGACAGGUAAGCGAAAUCUAAGGAAAGUAGCGAAGCACAUGAUGACGGCUUCCAGGAAAAGCUUCUGGCAAUGCAUACGCGGCCCGUACCAAAACCGACACAGGUGGGCAGGGAGAGAAUCCCGAGGUGAGCGAGAGAACUGUUGCCAAGGAACUCGGCAAAAUGACUCCGUAAGUUAGCGAGAAGGAGUGCUUAAGCAAUUAAGCCGCAGUGAAGAGGCCCAAGCGACUGUUUAACUAAAACACAGCUCUCUGCGAAGUCGCAAGACGAAGUAUAGGGGGUGACACCUGCCCGGUGCUGGAAGGUUAAGAGGAUCUGUUAAGAGCGAUCUGAAGCAGUGAUCCGAAGCCCCAGUGAACGGCGGCCGUAACGAUAACGGUCCUAAGGUAGCGAAAUUCCUUGUCAGGUAAGGUCUGACCCGCACGAAAGGUGUAACGAUUUGGGCGCUGUCUCGGCAGCAGACUCGGUGAAAUCUUAGUACCUGUGAAAAUGCAGGUUACCCGCAACUAGACGGAAAGACCCCAUGAGCUUUACUGCAGCCUGAUAUUGAAUUCUGGUCAUACAUGUACAGGAUAGGUGGGAGACAAAGAGACGUGCACGCCAGUGUACGAGGAGUCGACGUUGGGAUACCACUCUUGUGUGACCGGGGUUCUAACCUGGUAUCGAGAACAGGUACGGGGAGAGUGUCAGGUGGGCAGUUUGACUGGGGCGGUCGCCUCCCAAAGAGUAACGGAGGCGCCCAAAGGUACGCUCAGAUUGGAUGGAAACCAAUCGACGAGUGCAAUUGCAGAAGCGUGCUUGACUGUGAGACAAACAAGUCGAACAGGGACGAAAGUCGGGAAUAGUGAUCCGGCGGUGCCGAAUGGAAGGGCCGUCGCUCAACGGAUAAAAGCUACCCUGGGGAUAACAGGCUGAUCUCGCCCAAGAGUUCACAUCGACGGCGAGGUUUGGCACCUCGAUGUCGGCUCAUCGCAUCCUGGAGCUGGAUUCGGUUCCAAGGGUUGGGCUGUCCGCCCAUUAAAGCGGUACGCGAGCUGGGUUCAGAACGUCGUGAGACAGUUCGGUCCCUAUCUGUUGUGGGCGAAGGAGAUCUGCGGAGAGCUGUCCUCAGUACGAGAGGACCGGGAUGGACCUACCGCUGGUGCACCGGUUGUUCCGCCAGGGGCAUAGCCGGGUAGCUAAGUAGGGAAAGGAUAAGCGCUGAAAGCAUCUAAGCACGAAGCCUACUCCAAGAUGAGAUCUCCCAUUCGCAAGAAGUAAGACCCCUUAAAGACGAUAAGGUAGAUAGGCCAGGGAUGGAAGUGCAGUGAUGUACGGGGUUGACUGGUACUAAUCGGUCGAGGACC